rnacentral:rRNA from 1 species
UACGUAGGGUGCAAGCGUUGUCCGGAAUUAUUGGGCGUAAAGAGCUCGUAGGCGGUCUGUCGCGUCGGCUGUGAAAACCCGAGGCUCAACUGCGGGCCUGCAGCCGAUACGGGCAGGCUAGAGUUCGGUAGGGGAGACUGGAAUUCCUGGUGUAGCGGUGAAAUGCGCAGAUAUCAGGAGGAACACCGGUGGCGAAGGCGGGUCUCUGGGCCGAUACUGACGCUGAGGAGCGAAAGCGUGGGGAGCGAACAGG